CACUCCUGCGGGAGGCAGCAGUGGGGAAUUUUGGACAAUGGGCGAAAGCCUGAUCCAGCCAUGCCGCCUGCAGGAUGAAGGCCUUCGGGUUGUAACCUGCUUUUGUACGGAACGAAACGGCCUUUUCUAAUAAAGAGGGCUAAUGACGGUACCGUAAGAAUAAGCACCGGCUAACUACGUGCCAGCAGCCGCGGUAAUACGUAGGGUGCAAGCGUUAAUCGGAAUUACUGGGCGUAAAGCGUGCGCAGGCGGUUAUGUAAGACAGUUGUGAAAUCCCCGGGCUCAACCUGGGAACUGCAUCUGUGACUGCAUAGCUAGAGUACGGUAGAGGGGGAUGGAAUUCCGCGUGUAGCAGUGAAAUGCGUAGAUAUGCGGAGGAACACCGAUGGCGAAGGCAAUCCCCUGGACCUGUACUGACGCUCAUGCACGAAAGCGUGGGGAGCAAACAGGAUUAGAUACCCCUGUAGUCCCAUGA
rnacentral:rRNA from 1 species